rnacentral:rRNA from 1 species
UACGAAGGGGGCUAGCGUUGUUCGGAAUUACUGGGCGUAAAGGGCGCGUAGGCGGUGUGUCAAGUCAGGCGUGAAAGCCCCGGGCUCAACCUGGGAACCGCGCUUGAGACUGGCACGCUCGAGUUCGGGAGAGGAUGGUGGAAUUCCCAGUGUAGAGGUGAAAUUCGUAGAUAUUGGGAAGAACACCGGUGGCGAAGGCGGUCACCUGGACGAACACUGACGCUGAGACUCGAAAGCGUGGGUAGCAAACAGG